ACAGCGGCAUUGGCAGACCGAAAAUCACCCUCGCUCGAGUGCAUUCCGACGGAGAAAAAAAAAGUUUGGGAGACCGACGCUUUCUCUACCCGCUUCUGUACCCGCCGUGCGAUUGCCUUCGUUCAUGCGCAGCUCGCGCAACGAAUUAGGGAGUUUGAUUGCCUUCCAUAUUCACCUGCAAUCACGGAAGGGAAGCCUGCAGCGGAGGGUGGGUUCCUCCUUUGGUGCCUCUCCAUGAUUCCUCCCUGCAAUUACGCACAGCAUGCAGCGGAGGGUGGGUUCCUCCUUCAUUGCUGCCUCUCCAUGAUUCCUCCCUGCAAUUACGCGUCGGCAUCCUCGCAACGUCGUGACGCCUGGCGCAGGCUCCCAUUUUACUUUCUUUUGCUCAUGCUGCCUGGCGCUGCUGCCCGUGCGAGGAGGGCGAAGACGCCCAGCGCUGCUCCCCUACUUCCCCUCCCCGGCGCCCCUCCUCUUUCCUUCCCCGUCGCGCCGUGCCCCGCGGAGUCCUCCUCGACGCCGUCGUCACCGCCGCCGCGACGUCCUCGGGGUCCUCCUCGCCGUCGUCGUCGCCGAAGCCGACGGCCGCCGUGUCGUGCCCCGUGGGCUCGUCCUCGCCAUCGCCGUCGGUCGCCGCGCCGGCUCGCGAUGCAGCGUCUACUGCGACGACCGGCAGGGAUUGUGCAUGCCCCUCUCUCUCUCACCCUUCCUCUCGGUGGUGUGUAUACAGGGGCGGAGUCAGGAAUUUAUUUUUUUCAUUAUUAAGGGAGGCCAACCAUACUAAUUUAUAUAAAAAAUUAAUCAAAAUUUAAAUUUCCAAUGUAAAUUUGGGAGCCAUAGGGGGACCAGGCCCCUACCCGCCCCCGUCUACGCCCCUGUGUGUAUGCUUGAUCGUAGCGGAGGCUGGGUUAAUCUUACUGGAUGGCCUCUAACGAAUUGAAAGUUCGGUGUAACUGAUGCAGAUCGUGUCGCCGUGCCUUGUGUUUACUGAUUCAUGGAUAUCCUGAUUAGUUCUGUGUAUUUAGUGUAGAUUUUUUAUUUGAGUCAUGCAUUUGAAAGCAUUGCUAUCGAAAUUUUGAACAUUGGAAAAUAGGUAUUAUCGCCAUCGUUUACUUUCCUAUAUUUUUGUCUUUAGUCGAGCUGCAUGAAUAUAUGUGGAUAACUUGUGUAUGCCUUCAGACACAUAUACGAUCUGCAAGUGCAAAAGGCUAAGGCCUGCAGCAUUUUUACAUGCGAGUUGUGAUUGUAGACAUGUCAUAUAAGUGUUUCAUUUAAGUCAUAUUUGUCACACUAACUAUAUUAUCCGUUUGAGAUCCUUUCCUGCUGGAUUUGUAUCCAGUAUUCUAGGGGGCUGAGGUUCAUUAAUAUUUUUAGUACAAGCAUAAGUCUGGAAAGGGAAAAAAGCGAACUAAUCUCUGCAUGGGAAAAUAUUUGACAAUUACAAAUACUAGGCAAUGCCAUCUUUUAAGUUGUAGGAUUAUUUUUUACAUUGUCAGUUUCAUAUGCUAUAUUUAGCUGUAGCUCUUGUGAAUAUUAAUGGAUUCCCUUCCUUUACUCCUUUAGAGAUCAAAAAAAAAUCUUGUUCGUGCUGCUUGGCAGGCAGGUGAGAAAAGCAGCAAGGUAGCAAUUUUCAUAAAACAUUUCGUUGACUCCCAUGUUAUUGUAUAGAUUCAGGUUUCAUUAUGAACAGUUUAUUUCUCUAUGAAUAAUCUGGAACGGAAAAAAUUACUAAUUUGUUAUGCAAGUGGAACAUGCCACCUGUGUUGGAUAGCCUAUGCUCCACUAGGUUAGGAGUUAAAAUAGUUAUCUUCUGGGAUCUUUAAUAUCUACUAAAAUUAUAUAAAUGGUAUAUUUCCUUUGGUGACUAUGUUUUUUUUUGCUAAAGUCAGAUUACUAAUGAAUGGCUAUUUUUAGGGACUAUUAAAUCUUGCUUGUGGUUACUAAUGAAUUUAUGUUUAUGCUUAGAUGGCAGAGCACUUGGCUGACCGCUAAGAUUUCUUCAAGCAUCAGAGAGAUGCUCUGAAGAGACAUACAUGCAGGUUCUUGGUGAUCAGCAACAAGCAUGAAGAAAGUUCAGACCGGCUUAUUAACACACUGAUCAGCUGUCACAGGUAACCCUGCUCAGUUUCUGUUGGCUAGAAGAUUGCUUACCUAGGUAACCCUUGUUCUAAGCAGUUAUUGAAUAAGGUCAGGACGUCACAUUGAGUCAACUGGACUUGUAGUAUUUCUCUCAUAUCAUUACAAAAAUAUUGAUCAAAAUUUAGAGUAAUACUUCUCUAAGGUUAUUGUGAAAUAUUUCUUUGUCUGAAAAUUACUUUUUGUUGCCCUGCAUUGAGAUUAUCAUCGUUAGCAAUUUAUCAUGUGUUCAUCCAGGAAAGCAAUGUACAACUGAUGCAAUUUGAUAUCAUACUAUUGGGUGGUGCUAAGUGAAACCAAUUGGAAGUUUUGAGCUUGUGAUUCAAAAGGAAGUAGUCUUUCUGUAGGGGACAAAACUUUGUGAUUCCACUUAACGUGGUUAAUGAUAUUGCAAUCCAUAUUUUGUAUCUUGUUUGAGCACUGCAUAUUUUGCAUUGCAGAUGUGUCUUCAACUUCUUUCAGUGAGCCACUACUGAUUGAGUUUGUGAGGAAGAUUCUGGGCAAAGAGCCAAAGAUCGAGUGUAUUUAGAAAUUUUACUCGUACUCAUUUUUAUGUUGAUCAGUGUGUUAAACUAGAGAGAGAGAGAGAGAGAGAGAGAGAGGGAGAGGGAGAGGGAGAGAGAGAUUUUGAAAAAAGAGGAGUUGACACUACAAAGGUUGUGCAGGGAAGGAACAUGUAGCAUCCUCUAUCAUUUUGUUUGAAAUUUUGUCAAUUGUGCUUCCUAUAAAUGAAAAAAUUUCAUGUACCUACUGCAUCAUAUUCUAUAAUUACUCACUGUAAAACCUGACAUAUUUUGAUAGGCCACUGUCCUACUUCAAGUUGUUUGGGGAUAAUGGCUCUGUUUUGUAUUACAAUCCUUAUUCUGAACAUUGGAGCUUCAGUUAUUUUCAUAGCAGCCAUAUAUAUGGGAUGGCAAUUUGUAAUCAUAGACAAACUGAAUUAUUUUUUAUUUAGUAAUUUAAAAUAGAAAAAACAGUAUUAGCUGUGUAAUAAGUGUUUGUCUUGUCCUUGUUUCAAGUAUGCAGAAUGAAGAGUUCAUGUGUUCAAUGUUUUGAGGGAGGCAAUUUGACAAACCUAUGUUGCAACCACACUUCUGUUUCAUGUGCUAAUUGAAGAGCUCAUGGCUUCGGCGCGGGGGCCGAGUUCCACAGGCAAAAGAACGUGCAAAUGCCCUCCUGGACAAGUGGGCCGGCACGCCGCCACCGCUCAAAGCUAGGAAGGUGAACAUUGGAAGCUCCUAUUUUUAAUGAAGCCAUUAAGGAUUUAAUUUGAAGAACAUCAGUAUGUUUUAAGGUCAAUAAUCAGUAAAUCAGCCAUAUAGCUUCUUUAAAUUCUCAAAAUUACUUUAAAGAAGAUCAACUACUGGCACUCCUGGUGGUAUGAGGUAUGAGUUUCAGAUGAUUUUGUUGUUGUUUAAGAGUGUGCUACAUUUGUUUCAUAUGUGAACUUUCUGAAGAAAUCAUCAUUAAAAUUUUGGAUUCAGAAAUUAUAUGAAUUGAAAGUGUACAUAUCACCUGUUAUUUUCCCAAACAUAUGCAGAAUAGAGACCUUGCAGAUUCAGUAAUGGAACUCGAGUUCAAUAAUGAAGUGUGUGACAGUGCAAAUUUUAAAACUGUCCCCAUUUUUGUUCUUGGUGUUCUUGGUUCACACCAUUACAAAACUGAUUUGUCAUGUUUUCUAUGGAUCAGAUGCUUGUUAUGUCACUUGUUACCAAUGAGGAAUAGGGGUUCCUGUACGCAAUGACAGAUAUGCGAACUGCAAGUUUCUAUAUCAUUUUUGCUAUUUAUUUUCUGUUAAGAGGAAUUGAACAUUCAGAUGAUAUUUGAUCAUGACCAUUUUACGUGAGAUUGCUUCAGCUGCUUGUAUUAGCUUGUGCAUUGGCUGAGCUUACAUGGCCUAAAUAUUGCAAGAGGAGGCAAAUUUUCAGGGGACAAGUAUGAGAAAUCAGCAGUCAUCACUCCUUACUAGUGACAUGCAUUCACAAGCAAUCAGCAGUUAUCAGGUACAUACAUCUAGUUCAUCUUGGUCAUCCUCCGAGGACUCAUCAUCAGAUGAAUCACUGUCAUCCUCAUGUUUCCUUUUGCUUGGCAAAACAUCCAACAGUUCUGUAACAAGGACAAAAUGAGGAAGUUUAUUGAGUAGCUCAGAAAAACAAAAGAUGUGCAGCACUCCCAGGAAACCUACAUGCUUUGCAGCGUGCAGUUUAACGUAUGUAAAGUGUAGGAGUAGCUUAUAAUAAUGUAACAAAUGAAUUGUGAAUGAGCAUGUAGGUACCUCUAUUCCCCUUGAUGGACUUCGGAUCCUUCUUCUCCUUGGCUAUCCCAAAAACAUCAAAGCAUAGGUCUGCCAUUGAUGUUGAAACCUGCAAUCAGAACUGAAAGUCAUAAAAGAGUAUAUAUACAGUACACAA